CAUGCCAAGAAAUUGCCUCCGUUGAAAUUCUGCAAAUAUCCCAUAGAGCAAAUUACAUGGAUGAUUAAUAUUGACCAUUUGGUAUAUGGUCGUGUUCUUAGCGAGACGUACAUAAAGGUCAUAAAUUAAUUUGUUGAAUGAAAUUAAAUCUGUAUCUACUAAUGGGUGCCGUAGGAGGUCCACCGGAAUUUUUAGCUAGGAUUUCUUGGCAUG
rnacentral:lncRNA from 1 species